rnacentral:rRNA from 1 species
UGCAGUCGACGAACUUCCGUUAAUUGAUUAUGACGUACUUGUACUGAUUGAGAUUUUAACACGAAGUGAGUGGCGAACGGGUGAGUAACACGUGGGUAACCUGCCCAGAAGUAGGGGAUAACACCUGGAAACAGAUGCUAAUACCGUAUAACAGAGAAAACCGCAUGGUUUUCUUUUAAAAGAUGGCUCUGCUAUCACUUCUGGAUGGACCCGCGGCGUAUUAGCUAGUUGGUGAGGUAAAGGCUCACCAAGGCAGUGAUACGUAGCCGACCUGAGAGGGUAAUCGGCCACAUUGGGACUGAGACACGGCCCAGACUCCUACGGGAGGCAGCAGUAGGGAAUCUUCCACAAUGGACGCAAGUCUGAUGGAGCAACGCCGCGUGAGUGAAGAAGGGUUUCGGCUCGUAAAGCUCUGUUGUUAAAGAAGAACGUGGGUAAGAGUAACUGUUUACCCAGUGACGGUAUUUAACCAGAAAGCCACGGCUAACUACGUGCCAGCAGCCGCGGUAAUACGUAGGUGGCAAGCGUUAUCCGGAUUUAUUGGGCGUAAAGCGAGCGCAGGCGGUCUUUUAAGUCUAAUGUGAAAGCCUUCGGCUCAACCGAAGAAGUGCAUUGGAAACUGGGAGACUUGAGUGCAGAAGAGGACAGUGGAACUCCAUGUGUAGCGGUGAAAUGCGUAGAUAUAUGGAAGAACACCAGUGGCGAAGGCGGCUGUCUGGUCUGCAACUGACGCUGAGGCUCGAAAGCAUGGGUAGCGAACAGGAUUAGAUACCCUGGUAGUCCAUGCCGUAACGAUGA